rnacentral:lncRNA from 1 species
GGUAAGGAAUGGUUCUGUUCUUCGUAACGGUCUAAGCGGUAAGGAAUGGUUCUGUUCUUCGUAACGGUCUAAGCGAUUCCGAUCCAUCUGUUGUACUGGUACUGGUAACUAUUUCGCGAUGCUGCUGCCUUUUUCAUGUGUUCAUGGGAUCUCAUUCCCAUUUUGUGCCAUUGAGUUUGAGACAUGUUAGUCUGGGAAUAAAGGUGGAUUCUUAGCUAUCUAGAGUGUAUGGUGCUGCCUCAUGAUUCAGUGCUUAUGUAACAAUGUACAAUUUCGGGCUCGGUUGCAAUUCCUCUCUCAAAGACAGAACAGUUUGGUUGGUUUUGAUGUUUGAUCAUUUAGAUUUGUCGAAAACUGUUGUUCAUUCGGUUUAUGCAAGAUUCUUCCAGCAGAAAGUUCUUCAAUUGAGGUGCAAUGCUACACUCCUUUAUAUACCAUUGUUGUAAUUUCAGAUGGAUUUGUUCCAUAUUGAGUACUGCUAUCUCCUCC